rnacentral:rRNA from 1 species
UACGUAGGGCGCAAGCGUUGUCCGGAAUUAUUGGGCGUAAAGAGCUCGUAGGCGGUUUGUCGCGUCUGCUGUGAAAGCCGGGCUCAACCCCGGUCUGCAGUGGGUACGGGCAGACUAGAGUGCAGUAGGGGAGACUGGAAUUCCUGUGUAGCGGUGAAAUGCGCAGAUAUCAGGAGGAACACCGAUGGCGAAGGCAGGUCUCUGGCUGUUACUGACGCUGAGGAGCGAAAGCAUGGGGAGCAACGGAUUAGAUACCCCGGUAGCC